GCAGCACUUUGUGGUAUUCCAGCAUCUGCAAUUUCUUGUGUCUCCCUCGCCUAUGUCAACCUAUCACUUCUACAGAAGGGUCUCAACCUGAAACAUCACCCAUUCCUUCUCUCCAGAGAUGCUGCCUAUCCUGCUGAGUUACUCCAGCAUUUUGUAGCCACCUAUCACUUGCAAGGCUUUGUCCAGCCUCCAUCUCCCUUUUCCAGCGUCCUCCUCCCACCCUCUCCAAUCAGUCUGAAGAAGGGUCCUGACUCAAAAUGUGGUCUUUCCAUUCCCUCUAAAGCAGUGGAGGAACUCAG